GAUGAACGCUAGCGGCAGGCCUAACACAUGCAAGUCGAGGGGGAGGUUACUUUCGGGUAACUGAGACCGGCGUACGGGUGCGUAACGCGUAUACAGUCUGCCUUUCACUGGGGGAUAGCCCGAAGAAAUUUGGAUUAAUACCCCAUAGUAUAGUAAUACGGCAUCGUGAUGCUAUUAAAGCUUAGGUGGUGAAAGAUGAGUAUGCGUUCUAUUAGCUAGUUGGAGAGGUAACGGCUCCCCAAGGCGAUGAUAGAUAGGGGUUCUGAGAGGGAUGUCCCCCACACUGGUACUGAGAUACGGACCAGACUCCUACGGGAGGCAGCAGUGAGGAAUAUUGGACAAUGGUCGGAAGACUGAUCCAGCCAUGCCGCGUGCAGGAUGAAGGUCUUAUGGAUUGUAAACUGCUUUUGUAAGGGAAGAAUAAGGGCUACGCGUAGUUUGAUGACGGUACCUUACGAAUAAGCAUCGGCUAACUCCGUG
rnacentral:rRNA from 1 species